rnacentral:rRNA from 1 species
UGUGUAGGCGGUUGUUUAAGUUUGGUGUGAAAUCUCCCGGCUCAACUGGGAGGGUGCGCCGAAUACUGAAUGACUUCGAGUGCGGGAGAGGAAAGUGGAAUUCCUGGUGUAGCGGUGAAAUGCGUAGAUAUCAGGAGGAACACCGGUGGUGUAGACGGCUUUCUGGACCGUAACUGACGCUGAGACACGAAAGCGUGGGUAGCAAACAGGAUUAGAUACCCUGGUGGUCCACGCCCUAAACGAUGCAUAUUUGGUGUGGGCAGUUCAUUCUGUCCGUGCCGGAGCUAACGCGUUAAAAUAUGCCGCCUGGGGAGUACAGUCGCAAGGCUGAA